rnacentral:rRNA from 1 species
UAUAGUUUGAUCAUGGCUCAGAGUGAACGCUGGCGGUAGGCCUAACACAUGCAAGUCGAACGGCAGCACAGGAGAGCUUGCUCUCUGGGUGGCGAGUGGCGGACGGGUGAGAAAUACAUCGGAAUCUACUUUUUCGUGGGGGAUAACGUAGGGAAACUUACGCUAAUACCGCAUACGACCUACGGGUGAAAGCAGGGGAUCUUCGGACCUUGCGCGAUUGAAUGAGCCGAUGUCGGAUUAGCUAGUUGGCGGGGUAAAGGCCCACCAAGGCGACGAUCCGUAGCUGGUCUUGAGAGGAUGAUCAGCCACACUGGAACUGAGACACGGUCCAGACUCCUACGGGAGUGCAGCAGUGGGGAAUAUUGGACAAUGGGCGCAAGCCUGAUCCAGCCAUACCGCGUGGGUGAAGAAGGCCUUCGGGUUGUAAAGCCCUUUUGUUGGGAAAGAAAUCCAGCUGGCUAAUACCCGGUUGGGAUGACGGUACCCAAAGAAUAAGCACCGGCUAACUUCGUGUCAAGCAGNCCGCNGGUAAUACGAAGGGUGCCACGNCGUUACUUCGGAAUUACUGGGCGGUAAAGCCGU